UCUCCGUUGGUGAACCAGCGGAGGGAUCAUUACCGAGUUUACAACUCCCAAACCCAAUGUGAACGUUACCAAACUGUUGCCUCGGCGGGGUCACGCCCCGGGUGCGUCGCAGCCCCGGAACCAGGCGCCCGCCGGAGGAACCAACCAAACUCUUUCUGUAGUCCCCUCGCGGACGUUGUUUCUUACAGCUCUGAGCAAAAAUUCAAAAUGAAUCAAAACUUUCAACAACGGAUCUCUUGGUUCUG
rnacentral:misc_RNA from 1 species